UACGUAGGGGGCAAGCGUUGUCCGGAAUCAUUGGGCGUAAAGAGCGUGUAGGCGGCCUGGUAAGUCCGCUGUGAAAGUCCAGGGCUCAACCCUGGAAUGCCGGUGGAAACUGUCAGGCUCGAGUCCGGAAGAGGCGAGUGGAAUUCCUGGUGUAGCGGUGAAAUGCGCAGAUAUCAGGAGGAACACCGAUGGCGAAGGCAGGUCUCUGGGCAUUAACUGACGCUGAGGAGCGAAAGCAUGGGGAGCGAACAGG
rnacentral:rRNA from 1 species